UACAGAGGGUGCGAGCGUUGUUCGGAAUUAUUGGGCGUAAAGCGCGUGUAGGCGGUGAUGCAUGUCGGGUGUGAAAGCCCUCAGCUCAACUGAGGAAGUGCGCCCGAAACUGCAUCGCUGGAGUGCCGGAGAGGAAGGCGGAAUUCCCGGUGUAGAGGUGAAAUUCGUAGAUAUCUGGAGGAACACCGGUGGCGAAGGCGGCAUCCUGGACCAACACUGGACGCUGAUGAGCGAAAGCCAGGGGAGCAAACGGG
rnacentral:rRNA from 1 species